GCACCGAUACAAAUACACGCCAUCAUUACGUACAAUGCACACGUUCAAGGCAAGAUACAAAGAUGCCGAACACCGACACAUCAUUUCACCGACGACCAAACAAACUGCAUAUGUGACGCAGCCGCCAAGGAGGCCCAAAGCGAUAUCCUCGAACUUUAUGAAGGGGGCCAUCUAGGGUUCGAAACCCUUCCCUCGCAAUGCACCCAGUGGUCGUGGCGUAAGUUCGGUGAUUUCUGAUGCAUUUCACUGACUUCCUCGAGCGCACACUUUGAAAGUUUUGAGAACUGAAUUGCACUGCCCGACAUGUUCAAUGGCUUCCGGUGUAUUUCAUCUACAAAUCUAGGCAAGAUCAUGCGAGUAGAGGGUGACAUUACCACCCAAUCUGAAAGCCAGCCUAGCACUGUAUGUGCACAUCACAUCUGUUUGCAGUUUUCUGCAACAGGUAGGUUAAGCCGUUGUUGCACACUUGUCACAAACCUGCUCCCACAACAGUAUAAUACAGAGCCGAUGGAGCUCACUAAAAAGAAGAAGAAUUGUAUAGUAGUACAGAAAGC
rnacentral:lncRNA from 1 species